rnacentral:rRNA from 1 species
AGUCAUAUGCUUGUCUCAAAGCUUAAGCCAUGCAAGUCUCAGUACAGACUAUAUUAAAGUGAAACCGCAAAAGGCUCAGUAAACCAGUUUUAAUUUACUAGAGUUAACUUGACUGUGCUUGGAUAACUGUGGUAAUUCUAGAGCUAAUACAUGCAACAAAGCCGUGACCAUUCGUGGUCAGGGCGCUUUUAUUAGACCAAGACCAAUCGCCCGGCCAGUCCGGGCGUUAAGUUGAGGAACCUAGAUAACACAGCAGAUCGCAUGGUCUUUGUACCGGCGACCUAUCUUUCAAAUGCCUGACUUAUCAACUGACGAUGGUAGACUCUGUGUCUACCAUGGCUGUUACGGGUAACGGGGAAUCAGGGUUCGAUUCCGGAGAGGGAGCCUGAGAAACGGCUACCACAUCCAAGGAAGGCAGCAGGCACGCAAAUUACCCACUCCCGGAACGGGGAGGUAGUGACAAAAAAUAACGAUACGGGACUCGAUAUGAGGCCUCGUAAUCGGAAUGAGUACACUCUAAAUCCUUUAACAAAAAUCUAUUGGAGGGCAAGUCUGGUGCCAGCAGCCGCGGUAAUUCCAGCUCCAAUAGCGUAUAUUAAAGUUGUUGCGGUUAAAAAGCUCGUAGUUGGUUCUGCGUCCCGCGCUGUCGGUACACCGUUUGUCGGUGACACUGGCAUGACGCGGGAUGUCCUGUCGGUGGCGGCGGAGACCAUAUCGCCGUCGGCUAACACCGCGGCGUGUUGGCCUUCUGUCGCCGGCUUUAUCCUACCGCGGUGCUCUUCACUGAGUGUCGAGGUAGGCCGACACGUUUACUUUGAACAAAUUAGAGUGCUUAAAGCAGGCAAAAAUCUCUGCCAGAAUAGUGGUGCAUGGAAUAAUGGAACAGGACCUUGGUUCUAUUCUGUUGGUCUCCGGAACACAAGGUAAUGAUCAAUGUGGACAGGCGGGGGCAUUCGUAUUGCGGCGUUAGAGGUGAAAUUCUUGGAUCGUCGCAAGACGCACUAGAGCGAAAGCAAUUGCCAAGUAUGUCUUAAUUGAUCAAGAACGAAAGUUAGAGGUUCGAAGGCGAUCA